AUUGAACGCUGGCGGAAUGCUUUACACAUGCAAGUCGAACGAUGAACCUUAGCUUGCUAAGGGGAUUAGUGGCGAACGGGUGAGUAAUGUAUCGGAACGUAUCCAAUAAUGGGGGAUAACUAGUCGAAAGAUUAGCUAAUACCGCAUACGUCCUACGGGAGAAAGCUAGGGACCUUCGGGCCUGGCGUUAAUGGAGCGGCCGAUAUCUGAUUAGCUAGUUGGUGGGGUAAAGGCUCACCAAGGCGACGAUCAGUAGCUGGUCUGAGAGGACGACGAGCCACACUGGAACUGAGACACGGUCCAGACUCCUACGGGGGGCAGCAGUGGGGAAUUUUGGACAAUGGGUGAAAGCCUGAUCCAGCCAUUCCGCGUGAGUGAAGAAGGCCUUCGGGUUGUAAAGCUCUUUCGCAAGGGAAGAAAACUUAAGCUCUAACAUAGCUUGAGGUUGACGGUACCCUGAUAAGAAGCACCGGCUAACUACGUGCCAGCCGCCGCGGUAA
rnacentral:rRNA from 1 species